GGCCGCAGAAUUCUGCGGCUGGGGUGAGGAAAGUCCGGGCUUCACAGGGUAGGAUGCCGGAUAACGUCCGGUGGAGGCGACUCCAAGGAUAGUGCAACAGAAAUAUACCGCCACAUGCGACGUGCGUUGUAUGGGAAGAAUCCCACAGGAUUCUUCGGAUUUUGGCUCUGCCAGAAUCCGGUAAGGGUGGAAGGGCAGUGUAAGAGACUACCGCCUUUCUGGCAACAGAGGGGGCAUAUGUAAACCCCAUCCGAAGUAAGGCCGAAUCAAAGCGUUUACGUGACCCGCCAGCUUUCGGUAGGCUGCUUGAGGUGGCUGGCGACAGUCAUCCUAGAUAGAUGAUCAUUCGAUCGCGGCGCAUGCCGUGGUCCGACAUAACCCGGCUUAUCGUCCUGCUUAU
rnacentral:RNase_P_RNA from 1 species